rnacentral:tRNA from 1 species
GCAAUGGUGCUUCAGUGGUAGAAUUCUCACCUUCCAUGCAGGAGACCUGGGUUUGAUUCCUGGCCAAUGCA